rnacentral:lncRNA from 1 species
GGGAACCACAUCUUCUUGAUCUGAAAUGGUUAAGUAAGAAAUGAGCUACACUAUCCUAGUAAAGACAUCACACUAUCUCACUGUCACAGAAGUAAAGGUUUGUAGAAAAUAAAAACGACCAAUGGAGCAUAAUUUAUAACAAACUCAUUUAUUAAUGAUAAAAAGCUUUACUGUCUACCUACCUCGGUGAUAUUCGUGAAAAUAACAUAUGGAAACAAUAAUGUUAUAACCAUCAUAAAAUCAUAUACGCUUUGUAACAUAACACAUGUUAUACUUUUACACUUCAAUAAGCAGACAACAAUUUUCUCUUUUAUCAGUCUACUAGUAUCCGUAGGGAUCCAUAGGGGGUCCCUGCUACACGUGAACCAUUAACAUUAAUAAUCUGAUUCCAUGGCCGUCCCCAUACCCCGUCCGGUAUGGGCGCCAAACCAUGAACUUCAUACCUCGUCCGGUAUGAGGGUGAAACUGGUUGUCCUCAUACCCCGUCCGGUAUGAGGGUGAAACGGGCCGUCCCUAUACCCCGUCCGGUAUGGGCGCCAAAACACAUAAGGUCUCCAUACCCCGUCCGAUAUGAGAGACCACGUUCCCGGUAGGGUUCCCUACGAAUCCGGUCCGUCCACCAUCUCUCAGGAUAUCUAGUCAGGCUGUCCACAUUAUCCAUUUAUCAAUUCACAUAAUAUUUUUUUUCAUUUUUCUUAGUCUCAAUUAUCCAAUCAUACACAAACACGUAAACCAAUAAUGAACACCAAACAAAACAACACAACAUCGGGUUCACCAUAAUUCAAACCAUAAUAAAAGAAACCAUGAUUCAUGCAUACGAAACCAUAAAAUAAAUAAAUCAAAUAUCAUACUGCAUUUAAAGCUGAAAAAUAGAUCAAACAAGAACUGACCGGAAAAUACAUAAGAUUCGGGCUCCAUUAGUAACCUUAAUUAAUUAUACACAUGUAUUAAUUCAUGAAAUACUGUUUUAUUAUUUAUUGAGCUUUAAUACCGUGAUAGAAAAUAGGGUGAGAAAUCCUUACUUGUUUCGGGGUCUGAAAUCAGCUCUACAAUGUGCCUACAAGCUAUCCCUAAAUUCUCUGAAUUUUCUCCAGGAAACUGAAACACACUACCGGUACCUGCACGUGUCCCAAAAAACCUCAAAUCAGACCCAGGGCCCCUUUUCGACCAAUAUCGGAAUUGAGCCUCCGUGCUCUGGCGAUGGCACCGCCGCCCGCGGCGGCGAUCCGCCUCGGGUUGGCCGUUUUUGGCCGAAUUUGGCCAAACUUGUAUUGGUUCCUGCGAUAAAACAACCCUAGGGCCCUCGGUGGGCCAAAAAAUCACGAAAAAUCGAGACUUACCGGCGUCGAAGCUCUCGGGUGCGGCGGCUUCUCCGGUGCGAGUCACAAUUUGAUGUUUUGCUCCAGUCAACCUGUAGAGAAAAGGACGGUGAUCACAGUGGUGUAAAAAUUGCAUCGAACGGGAAUGGGAAAGGGCCUCAUCGGAGGCAAAAACCGAGGGAAGCCGCGGCGGCACCGCUAGAUUAUGACGGUAUUUUCCGGCCGAUUGGCCGGUGGUUUGGCUCCGAUUUAGCCAUAGGCAGGUGUAGCAUCGAAAAAUGAGCCAAUGAGAGAAAAUUUACCACGUUUAGCGGUCGAAAAACCCUUUGGUGCGGCAGCGGGUGGCGGCGACCGGCUUCUCCGGUAACUGGUUCUUCUCCUCCGAUGAGGGUACUGGCGGCUAGGGUUUGGGGUCGGGUGUGGGUGAGGUUAUUUAUAACCUUCCCUUUUUAAUCUCAGUCGUCCAUCACGAUUUAAUCUGGGUCGUCUGAUCGCAAUUAAAAUGGGAAUAAAUCUGGGCCGUCCAUCGCAAUGCAAUCUGGACCAUCUGUGCGUGAUUCAAUCUGGGCCGUCCGCACGCGUGAGAUCUGGGCCGUCCGUGCGCGUGAGAUCUGGACCGUCCACACGCGUGAGAUCUGGACUGUUCGAUCGCGUGCACGCGGAUCGCCCACGUGGCUCCGUCCGGCAUGGCCUCCUACGUCAGCUUCCUUGUAACGCGGCGUGUUCUGGUUGGCCGGGGCUACUGACUGGGCUGUUGACGUAGCUGCUGAUAUGGCACAACUUUCCUAAAUUACGUUUUGACCCCCGGUUUCUGAUUUUUUUUUCAAAAACACCCCCAUAAUCUAAAUUUUCACUCAUUUUUUCCAAAAUCAAUUUCAAUUAAAUCCCAAAAAUAAUUUUAUAAUAUUUUAUCAUUAUUAUUAUUAUUAUUUUUAUUAAAUUAAAUUAAAUUAAAUUAAAACCUUAUAAAUUAAAUAUUAAAAAAUUAAACUAAAAUUCUAAUAUAAAUUAAAAUAAAUUAAAAAAUAAAAAUAAUAAAAUUUCGGUGUUACAGAUCUAGUUUCAGGCAUUAGCAAACAAGUAUAUGAUUUUGUCAAAUCACAAUUUAAUGUUUUGUUAUAUCCAUAUAUAAUAAUAUAAGUUUGUGUGAUGUCCCUGCUCUCCCAUGAAGAGAUUCCAGUCGUCAAACACUAAACAUGCAACGGAAAUACAAUUAACAUAAUAUUUAUAACUUCAAAAUAUUUAUUAUCUAUCUUUUGACUACAUUGUAACAUUGUUUACAAUACAUAAGAUUCGUAUGAUAGAGUCAAAAUAAAAUGGAUACAUGUUCGGUUACAAAAUAUAAUUUCUGUCACGGGUGCUCAUACAACUUCUUAAUCCGGUUCAGGGGUGAGAUCUUCUUGAUCCACAACCGGAUCCUCUUGAUUUGGAAUGAUGGCAAUUAAAUAGGGUGAGCAAUUUUAAUGCACUUAGUAAGUAUAAGAAAUAAGUUACACCCUGAGCAUGCUACAUAAAAUCAAACAAUCAAUCAAAUAUGUAAAACUUUUCUUUUUGUUUUUAUUUGAAAACUAUGGAAUGCAAAGGUAUUUCAUUUUCUAUCUCAUCUCUCAUUGUUCCACUAACUCUAUUCUAUCUCUCAAAUUUUUCUUAUAAAUUUACGUAUUAUCCCUCGAAAUUCUCUUAAACUCAUUUUUUUCAAAAUUUCUCUAAAUCUAUUUUAUUUCACUGUUUCCUCAAACCACUAUAGAAUUUUUCACAAGUUUUCGGUCAAAUUGAGAUACUCGUACUUCCUCAGCGGGUAUCCCUGAUUCCCGAUUUGCCCCAACAUAAUCACCAAAUUGAAGUUAUUAAAAUUUUAAAUUUUUGAUUUGAUAUUGGACGGAUGUUAUUCAAUUAGUACCAUUAUGAGAUCAGGAUCCCACUAUCACUCACACAGCCAAAAUAUACAUUGAUCACAAUAGUCCGUUGUUAGGUUACUCAUAAUAUAACACACAUCCCAAUGACAUCUCUAAGGGUUUCCAUCCACCCAAGGAUAAGGUUCACCAUACUGCUGAAUUUAAGUCAUACUAAUCUUAAACGACUUAUCUCUAAAUUUUGGCUUCUUCUAAAUAUUUGUAUUAUUUUCUUUUCUUCCUAUUCUAAUUAUAAUUGGUAUUUUAUUUAUUUAUUUAUUUUCAAUUGAAGUUUCAUUUAUCACUCUCCACUUUUUUUUCUAACUAAUUCCCUCUAAAUUCUACUUUAGAAAUUUUUAUUUAAUUAUUUAUGUUUAUAUAUAUAUAUAUUUAUUAAUAUUCGUUUCCUUUAUGUAAUUCUUUAUGAUUUAUUAUUAUAUAUAUUUGCUAAUAUUUAUUAUUAUUAUUAUUAUUAUUAUUAUUAUUAUUACUAUUUUAUUUUAUUAAUAUUACUUAUAUUAUUAUUAUUUAAUUUAUUAUUAAUCUUUAUUUAUUUAUUUAUUUUAGAUAUAUAUAUAUAUAUUUCAAUUCUUAAUUAGUAUUUUUAUUUUUUUCAAUUUUAAAAUCUUAUCAUAAUUCUAAUUUUUUUUUUAUCUAUAACUUAAUUACCUAUUUUUUUUAUCUAGCAACUUGAAUCUAAUUUUUUUUUCUCUGUCUUUAAUUUAUUUCAUCAUCUACUUUAUUUUAUCACUUAUUUUUUUAACCCAUUCUUUAUUUUUUUUUUCUUCAAACAUUUUCUUUCAUGCAAUUUAUAUAUAUAUAUACACACUAUAUAAAUAUAAUGCGUGCAUUCAAUUAAUUCAUUCAAGCAAAUAAGAGUUUAAAAAUAUAAUAAAAAUAUCAAAAUAACUAAAUAGAUACUCUCGAGACUUUUUUCGACGAUUUGAACUCUCUGAAUAGGUUUUGAGAUGGGUUUUAAACCCAAGUCACCACCCCUAUUUGCAAGCUUGUAACUUCUUAUCCGGUUAACAAAAUCUAAUAAAUAUUUAUAUUAUGUACGCCUCAGGUUACCUAUUAAUUAUACUUAUAAUUUAAAAGUCCCUACGAAAUGAUUUGAGCUCCAAAAAUAUUUCCAAAGUUAGAGAAAAAAAUCUGCAGAAAUUUUUUUUUUCUCAGGUCAGUGAUAAACCCGUAAGUUGUAUGCGAUUUUUCAUGCAUGCAUGCCAUGAUUUUGAUUUAAUUUAAACUUUAAGCAUGUUCUAUUACAUGCAAGUUACCUCUAGAGUAUUUUAUUUAAUUAAAAUGAUAAACAAAGCUCUAGCAAAUUACUCACCAAAGUGCCGAUUUGAUCACGUGUUAGGGUAGCGGGUCAUUGGAAAAUCUGAUGGAUUUUUACAAUUUUCAGCACUGGUUGGCCGCGAAAAGCCCUUCUCUCGGCGGUCGUCCCUUCGUCGGCAAUCUCUGCCGCCUUUCCCCAUUUUUUUCUCCUUUCUUCCGGCGAGAAUGGUGUACUUUGGCCUCUCUUCUCUUCUUCUUCCUUUCUUUUUUUUUUCUUCUUUUGUUCUCUUUUUUUC